CGUUAGAUAGUAGAAGGAUAAUUUGGGAGCAGGGGCAUGUAAGAACCGAAACUCGAGCAACACGCUUUUCCAAGUGAAUAGCACAUGCAAAAACUUGGGCGCUGAGUGUUGAGCACGCGGUGAGAGUGGCGGACGGGCGAGUAACGCGUGAGCAACCAACCUUGCACUGGGGGAUAACGUCGGGAAACCGGCGCUAAUACCGCAUGACAUUACUGGAUCGCAUGGUCUUGUAAUCAAAGCUCCGGCGGUGCGAGACGGGCUCGCGUCCAAUUAGCUGGUUGGCGGGGUAAAGGCCCACCAAGGCGACGAUUGGUAGCCGAACUGAGAGGUUGAUCGGCCGCAUUGGGACUGAGACACGGCCCAGACUCCUACGGGAGGCAGCAGUGGGGGAUCUUGCGCAAUGGGGGAAACCCUGACGCAGCGACGCCGCGUGAAGGAAGAGGGCCUUCGGGUUGUAAACUUCUUUGAUCGGGGACGAAGCAGACGGUACCCGAGGAACAAGCCACGGCUAACUACGUG
rnacentral:rRNA from 1 species